GACGGACGCUGGCGGCGUGCUUAACACAUGCAAGUCGAACGAAGAGCGAUGGAAGCUUGCUUCUAUCAAUCUUAGUGGCGAACGGGUGAGUAACGCGUAAUCAACCUGCCCUUCAGAGGGGGACAACAGUUGGAAACGACUGCUAAUACCGCAUACGAUCUAAUCUCGGCAUCGAGGAUAGAUGAAAGGUGGCCUCUACAUGUAAGCUAUCACUGAAGGAGGGGAUUGCGUCUGAUUAGCUAGUUGGAGGGGUAACGGCCCACCAAGGCGAUGAUCAGUAGCCGGUCUGAGAGGAUGAACGGCCACAUUGGGACUGAGACACGGCCCAGACUCCUACGGGAGGCAGCAGUGGGGAAUCUUCCGCAAUGGACGAAAGUCUGACGGAGCAACGCCGCGUGAGUGAUGACGGCCUUCGGGUUGUAAAGCUCUGUUAAUCGGGACGAAAGGCCUUCUUGCGAACAGUUAGAAGGAUUGACGGUACCGGAAUAGAAAGCCACGGCUAACUACGUG
rnacentral:rRNA from 1 species